UAUGGAUUAGCCCUGAUAAUUCAAACACUUGAACAUAUGCUUAACUUUACAUAAUGAGAAUGUCUUGCUGAUUUUAGGAUAACUCUCGAUCUACAUGAAUUUAAGCAAAAGUCUAAGAGUCUACUGGGAAUGUAAUCUGUGGUGCCAGUCAUUUGAAACACACAUUUAAUAAGAAAAGAAUUGAAAUAACUGCAGCAGACACAGAUGACUUUGGUUCCUGCUGCGUUGACAGCAGGGAAUAAUCUGAGGACACCUUUCUUCACUCGUAGUCUGCCAAAAGUUACCCAGACAACUACAACUUUUACAUGAAAAUGAGGAAUAAUGAGACACAAACAUCAAUCUGCUGAAUGAAAUUUAAUGGAGAUAAAAGGCCCACUGACUGCCUUGGUUGUUCCAGUGAAGAUAUCAGCUGUCACUAGCAACUCCUCAUGUACAGCAUAUCUGAAAUAAAGAGGGAGGACUACUGCCAUUUGACCACUUUCUCUGCCCAUCAGAUCAAGUUACCUGAGAGAGGAAGCUGAGAGCUGCCACUCUACUACAACAAAUGAAUGAGUUUCUACAAGCAGUGUCACCACCUCAAACAGGCAGAGCUAGUGGUCUGCAAAGGUGAUUAUUCGCAUUUCUAGGCUCGAUGUUGACAGGCUGAAUCCAAAACUGCCUGACCCUUCUCAAGUCUCCCUAAUAAUUUACAAAGCAUAAUAUGAUCCAUUCUGAAAAAAUAGCAAGGGAAAACACUAAAAAACUUCUUAGAAAGAGAACAGUGUUCUUCGUGGGUCAAGGAUAUGGUGCCCUGGUGUAAUCACAGACAAAAAAGAAAUCAAUACCACACAUAGCUCUUGUAGGACGAAAGGAUAAUUGUCUAUCACAAUUACCUAGACAACAUGUACCUCUUCAAUGCUGGACAUUUUUCUUUCUUGUCUCAUUGUAUGUCUAUGCUUUUCAGUGUGCUCUAUUCCUGUUCACUGUGCUGUCCUCUCCCAAGUUAUUCUGUAUGUGCUUUUAUCACUAAUUUCCCAUGCUCUGCUGGCUCGGGUUUGAGUGGCAGGGAGGAAUCUGUAAGCAGGUGUUGUGGAAGUGAAGCGUGCCAUCCGGCCAGUACAUUAGGUAAAGUUACGUUCCCCUGGGAACCCUAAUGCUUACAACUGCAUCAGCCCCAACUGUUUUUGCAAGAAGAGGAAGAGGCCAGUCCUGACCUCUUCUGACCAGAUGUUUUGGAAAUGUGCCCAUUUUUAGCAGCUAAAAUAGCUGUCAAUUUAUCAAAGUGUAAUAAGUAUUAACAAAGGAGACUCUUUAGUUACAACCUAGUAGUAAAAUGCAAGAGAAGAAAUUAGGGAUAUGGAAGAGAUUGGGUUUGAGUGCAUGGGACCAUAUUCAAAACUAGUUUAAGGAAAAUUUCAAGAUAUUCUGCUCUGUAUAAUAGAAAUUAUAUGACUGGUUUAGACACAAAUUCAGAAAAAAAAGAUCAUUUUCAUAAGCCUAUGCCAAAAAUGUCCAGGACUCUGUACAGACUAGACAUAAGAAAAGAAGCAAGAUAGCUAAUGUAAAAACUCAUGCUGCAAUGAAAGCAACUGAGUUACAAAUUUUAAGGCUCAUUUGGAAACCUUAAACCUUCUGCUUUGAGCUGUGGAAGGCAGGAACCCAUAUUCCACACAUGAGAGUAAACUGUGUUCAUGUUCUUUUAUUACUAUCCCUUCAAAUUGCUGAAAUGGGAAAGAAACAUUUAUGAAAAGCAUUUCUAAAAGAACAAAUAUUCUGCUUUCCUUCCUCCUCUUACCCCUAAUUUAUAGCCCACCAAGAGCUCACCAAUUUUCUUAAACUUUUUUUUUUUAAACGAAUACCUCUUCCCAGCAAUUAUAUAUAAAAGAAAUCUUUUGCUUUAUCAUUUUAAAGAGCUGGGAUUUCAUUCUGUUUCCAAUGUCCCAAAGGGGUAAAUACCCUUUUUUUUUUUCUUUCUUUUUAGAAUCAGUGGAAUUACAGGGAGCUUGCACUCCAAGAAGUGAGAACAGAAUGGGGUGCUGAGGGGUUUUAAUGGCUAAAGCUUCUGGAUUUCUGAAGCACUUAGUCAGGCUUUUUCCUUCACAAUUGUAAACAAUAGCUUGCUGAUAACCAAGAUGCAAAUCACCAGAAUGCUGUGCUUAAAAUUAGAAUUUCUUUUUCUUACUGUGAUGGUCUUGUUGAGCAAUAAAGCUUUUUACACAAAAUAGAAACACUUCAGUAAUAAUAAUAUUUAUUAAUA